rnacentral:rRNA from 1 species
CCUACGGGGGGCAGCAGUGGGGAAUAUUGCGCAAUGGGGGCAACCCUGACGCAGCAACGCCGCGUGCAGGAAGAAGGUCUUCGGAUUGUAAACUGUUGUCGCAGGGGAAGAAGACAGUGACGGUACCCUGUGAGAAAGUCACGGCUAACUACGUGCCAGCAGCCGCGGUAAUACGUAGGUGACAAGCGUUGUCCGGAUUUACUGGGUGUAAAGGGCGCGUAGGCGGGAUAGCAAGUCAGUCGUGAAAUGCCGAGGCUUAACCUCGGAGCUGCGAUUGAAACUGUUAUUCUUGAGUAUCGGAGAGG